rnacentral:lncRNA from 1 species
UGAAGUUUAUAUAAGUUUACAUAUACUGAAAAAUUCCUUCAACUCCUUAACAAUGGGCCUUCAGUUACUGCUACUGCAAACUUAUAGCUAGAAUGAUCCAUAAAAUUCAGACUGAUGAAUCAGAAUUUGAAUGGAUUUUAGACACAAGAGCCACAAAUCACUUCUUUUUUUUAAAUACUCUAGGACUUCCAUUAAUAAUCAGGGUCUGGCUAACUGUUGAUACACCAACUUGAAAACAAAUUAAAGCAACCUAACUUUCCUUAAAAAAAAUAAAAACCAGAUGAACUACUCUUACU